CCUACGGGUGGCUGCAGUGGGGAAUAUUGGGCAAUGGGCGCAAGCCUGACCCAGCAACGCCGCGUGAAGGAAGAAGGCUUUCGGGUUGUAAACUUCUUUUCUGAGGGACGAAGAAAGUGACGGUACCUCAGGAAUAAGCCACGGCUAACUACGUGCCAGCAGCCGCGGUAAUACGUAGGUGGCAAGCGUUAUCCGGAUUUAUUGGGUGUAAAGGGCGUGUAGGCGGAAUGUCAAGUCAGCGGUAAAAUUUCGGGGCUCAACCCCGUCGUGCCGUUGAAACUGGCGUUCUUGAGUGAGCGAGAGGUAUGCGGAAUGCGUGGUGUAGCGGUGAAAUGCAUAGAUAUCACGCAGAACUCCGAUUGCGAAGGCAGCAUACCGGCGCUCAACUGACGCUCAUGCACGAAAGCGUGGGUAUCGAACAGGAUUAGAUACCCGGGUAGUC
rnacentral:rRNA from 1 species